GAUGAACGCUGGCGGCGUGCCUAAUACAUGCAAGUCGAGCGAACAGAUGAGGAGCUUGCUCCUCUGACGUUAGCGGCGGGCGGGUGAGUAACACGUGGAUAACCUACCUAUAAGACUGGGAUAACUUCGGGAAACCGGAGCUAAUACCGGAUAAUAUAUUGAACCGCAUGGUUCAAUAGUGAAAGACGGUUUUGCUGUCACUUAUAGAUGGAUCCGCGCCGCAUUAGCUAGUUGGUAAGGUAACGGCUUACCAAGGCAACGAUGCGUAGCCGACCUGAGAGGGUGAUCGGCCACACUGGAACUGAGACACGGUCCAGACUCCUACGGGAGGCAGCAGUCGGGAAUCUUCCGCAAUGGGCGAAAGCCUGACGGAGCAACACCGCGUGAGUGAUGAAGGUCUUCGGAUCGUAAAACUCUGUUAUUAGGGAAGAACAAAUGUGUAAGUAACUAUGCACGUCUUGACGGUACCUAAUCAGAAAGCCACGGCUAACUACGUG
rnacentral:rRNA from 1 species